rnacentral:lncRNA from 10 species
CCAACGUAGAGAAAAACAGAGCUAAGACAAACCAAGGCUAACUGCUGAUUUAAGUCCCUAGAUCCAGCUAUUCUUGAAGCCUUCUCAGUUACACAAACCAAUAAUACUUACUUUUUUUACUUAAACUAUUUUCUGUUUCCAUUACUUACAACCAAAAUAGUCCUGAUUAAUACAUAGAAUAAUGUGAAUUUUUAUUUUUAUUCUGAUUUUUAUUCUGACUUUAUAAAAAAGAACUUUUACAAUUAUCCAUUAUGCUUGGAUAAAUGCGUGUGUAAAUAUUUGUUUGGGGUGGAGGAUGUACACUGAAAUGUUAACAUUAGAUUUCUGCGGAGGAUGAGUUGGAAGGAAUGAAGGAGACAUUAAUAUCUUUUUCUGGCAGGGCACGGUGGCUCACACCUGUAAUCCCAGCAUUUUGGAAGGUGGAGGUGGGCGGAUCACCUGAGAUGGACUCAACGACUCUCUUACCGUCCAGCUCUCAAGUCCCUUCUCUUGUGAAAAUGGA